ACAGAUCUGCUGUAUGUCACACCCCGACACGCGCCUAUUUGGUCGGAUUCGGGCACGCCGACAGACCGCCGAACGGAUAGAGUCUCCCCUGUAUGUUCUAGGCGUCGCAAACAUAAAAUACCAACUAUACUAUUACAAGCAUUCACAUACAUGCAUUUUACAUCACAUUUACAAUUUGUUUUCUUCCAAAUACAAUUUAAAUUAUUACAACUUUAUUACAAUUUGUUCUUUGCAUUUCCUAUACCCCUA
rnacentral:lncRNA from 1 species